rnacentral:lncRNA from 1 species
GCCGGUUUGGGGACUGUUGACAACAGCUGUAUCUUUUAGGGGAGGGAAGUUGCCAGCGUAUUCUUGGAAGCAGGUGCUUCCUAGGAGGGACUGAGUCUUCCAUAGCGAUACUCAGGUGUUCGCUCCAGCACUUGGAGUCCACAGAUCGAGUUGAACUUGACCUGGGUUGUGGCAGCCCGUGCUUCUCCCCUGCCUGGACUGAGAGAACUUUUGCAUUAGAAGUUGGACACCCU